UUUUUUUUUUUUUUUUUUUUUUUUUUUUUUUUUUCCCAAAAGAUGACAAUAUUAUUAAUACG
rnacentral:ribozyme from 15 species